ACGCUCCGUGAUUGGAUCUCAGACGUGUGUCUCUUCUGUUCACCAUUGAACCGUAACAAAUGGAGUUCACAAACUGUAAUAUUUUGCAUCAACUUGCUUAUCAAUUAAGAGCUAGCUACUCCAUUUGCUUGUCACAAGGCUCACAAGAAUCUAUGGACUGUAUGGUUACUGAGUUCUUAAUUACUAAAGACUCACUCAGCAGUAAUGAGCAUUUUGUAAUCAAUGUACUUCCUCUUGCAAAUGUCUGGUGGUGGUUAUCUAAAUUUAAUCAUAUUACUCAUCUCUUCGUUUCUGGUGCCCGUACUGGCUUGGCCGCAUUUGUGCAGGUCAUAAUCUUCUUUAACUGCAAGCGCUAUUUCUUCUGCACUAACCUGAGCUUCUGCAACUGCAAGCUCAUUGUCCCCCGAGCAUUUGCAACUGCAAGCU